rnacentral:rRNA from 1 species
CGCGUAGGCGGGAUGGCAAGUCGGUCGUGAAAUCCUUCGGCUCAACCGAAGAACGUCGAUCGAUACUGCUGUUCUUGAGGGUUGCAGAGGAGACUGGAAUUCCCGGUGUAGCGGUGAAAUGUGUAGAGAUCGGGAGGAACACCGGUGGCGAAGGCGGGUCUCUGGGCAAUCCCUGACGCUGAGGCGCGAAAGCGUGGGGAGCAAACGGGAUUAGAUACCCCGGUAGUCCACGCUGUAAACGAUGACGACUAGGUGUGGGGGGGUUCAGUCCCCUCCGUGCCGCAGCUAACGCAUUAAGUCGUCCGCCGUGGGGAGUACGGCCGCAAGGUUGAA